UAUGGCCAUAUCAUAUUGAAACACUGGUUCCUGUAUGAUCAUCAAAGUUAAGCAAUGUUGAGCCUAGUCAGUACCUAGAUAGGUGACUGCUUGUGAAUACCAAGUACUGUAA